UAGAAAUUCAUAGAGACAAAGGUUCACAGUUCAUUGAUUUUAUUAACCUCCACAACAGUUUCCUCAACUUUCAUUUCCAUGGACGUGACCUAGCAGUAGAGGAGCUGUGACCUCCCAUCCUCCGCCGUUGAUCCACCUAUAUUCAAUGAUGGGUGAAGAUCAUUGGAAGAAUGGACCUCUCUACUAUGAAGUUCUCCUUUGAGUUUUGAAGAUGGCACUGAGACUGCGUGUGUUGUGUAGCAGAUGCUAACUAUGGUAUAAUUGGUUUUAAUUUGCUGCAGCAGGCUGUUUAGAAGCUUGGACAAAAUUCCACGUGGUGCCUGAAUCCCGCCUGCUUGUUUGAGCUGUCACUGACUGACUAUCAUCUCCCCAGGAUAGAUGAACAAUGAAACACUGCAAAUCCAUGAACUCUACUGAUGGAUAGACUAGGAUUUUUGAUGGGAAAGUGUUUUUUCUUGUAUCUAUGGGACCUUUAUAUGUCCCCAAUUACAUGCCACCCAUUUAAGGCAAGCAUAAGAUAAAGA